GCAAUGAAAGAAAGCUUGACGCAGUGACACCGCGUGUGGGAUGACGGAUAUAGGUUUGUAAACCAAUUUCAGGAGGGAAGAAAAUGACGGUACCUCCACAAGAAGCCCCGGCCAAGUACGUUCCAGCAGCCGCGGUAAUAUGUAGGGGGCGAGCGUUGUCUGGAUUUAUUGGGCGUAAAGAGAUGGUAGGCGGUUCAACAAGUAAGUCGUGAAAGUUCAGGGCUCAACCCUGAAAUGUCGAUCGAUACUGUUGUGAUUAGGAUACGGUAGAGGUGAGUGGAAUUAAGAGUGUAGCGGUGAAAUGAGUUGAUAUUUGGAGGAACACCAAUCGGGAAGGCAGCUCACUGGGCCGCUAUAGACGGUGAGGAGGGAAAGAUAGGGGAGCAAACAGGAUUAGAUACCAUGGUAGUCCUAGCUGUAAACGAUGGAUACUAGACGUAGGAACUGGAUUGACGGUUUCUGUGUCGCAGCUAACGCGUUAAGCUUCCGCUGGAGACGCACUU
rnacentral:rRNA from 1 species